UUCAGUAUGAAGAUCAUUAGUCUUUACCCACUGAUCUCCCUAGCGCUUAAGUUGCUAGAUAUUUUCUGCUCGUCUACUGACAAAAAGAAUUUUGAAACUAAAUAAAUUUUCCAGGAAAAUUCACUACAUUUUAUUUUCGGGAAACCAAACAUAGCCGAUUCCGGCCACCGUGUGGGUGCAGAUUCUUGGCGGUCUCGUAAUUUACAAACUGUUCAAAAGAAUCUUCUACGGCGACGACGUUUUGACCAUCGAAACCCCCGAUUCUAAUGCCAUUUUCUUAGUUGCAAAUAGAUUAAAUUUUUUACUUCUUUUUUUAGUAUUCUCUUAAAAAUUCUACUUAUUUAAGCUUAAUUAUAUUAACAUUUUGGCUUGUGCGGUAUCUGGUUAGAAAGCUAUUUUUUUAUUUAUUAAUUUUACCAAAUUUGUAUAUUAGAGGCGCUUUAUGGAGGUAAGGCACACGUGGGGCCCCGAAUUCCGGAUCCAGAUACGGGUUCGUGACAGAAUAUAGAUAUUGUUCUUGUUACUGAAGGGGAGGCCGUGGUGGUUUCUGUGAAGAAUUUUUGAGGAUUUGUAUCAAUCAAUGGAGAUGGCAGCUGGGUUUGUGAAGGCCAGCAUGGGCACAGAUCACAGCAUUAUCCUGACCCUGUGGAGGAAGGUAAAAAACAAGCUUCAGUUCUUGAAUCAUAUCUUGAACAAUGGGGAGUUGCCCUGCCAGAAGGAUAUUUCUUGUACAAAGUGAUACUUCCUAAUCCAAAAUUUCCAUUAUGUGUUUAAAUCUCCAUCAUGAUGUGCCCAGGAUUGCAGUUUAGUAUAUUCUGCUCUCCAUUUAUUCAAGCAAUUUUCCGCCCGAGGUUAAUACCUUUGAGCAGUGGACACUGUUGAAACCAGAACAAAAAAAUAUGCUGUCUGGCUGGCUUAAGGUUGCCUUUAGUGGUGGAGAAAAAGAGAUGCAGGAAUCUAUUAAUCAGCAACUCAAUUUCAUUCUCAGCACAGCUCCAAUCUGGGACAGUUUUUGUCUUUUUUUACUUUUGAUUUUUCUGUACCUUAAUGUUCUGUGCUUAUUUAUUUACUUAUUUAUUUAUUUUUUGCAUAUUGUUAUAUUGAAUUUAUGUCAAUCAACUGCUUGGUGGAUAAUAUACCAAUCAAGAAAAUCCUAGUUCAUAGGUAGUAAAACCUGCAAUCUAAUUGUCUGCAUCAUAUGUAUGUUACUCUUGUACUUAAAGAUGAUCCUGAAUAGUAGAGACUAAAGCACUUACAAAAAUAGUGAUGAAAACAAGUUUACAUGUUACUGAUAUAUAUGUUACUCUUGUAUGUAUAGAUGACCCUGAAUAGUAGAGAUUAAAGCACUUAUAUAAACAGUGAUGAAAACAAGUUUGUUGUGAUUACUUGUUAAAGUUAUGAUGUUUAAUUUUUUUCCAAGGAUUUCUGGUCCAUCUCCCUCCCUGAAUUUUCUGAUUGCUGUAAAAUUAAAACAAAACUAGCAAUAAUUAACUGUUUUACAUAGACCUAUCAUCCUUGCUUCUGUUCUCAUAGUGGAAAAAGAUUGUGAUCUGAUAAAAUGGCCACAGUUUAUGGUAUAAAAUAGUGCUUAGCUGGUGCUAGAUAUUAUCUCAUAGAUAUCCAGACUGAUGAUUUAGUCUAAGUUUUUUGGUCAUAGAUUUGUGGUCCAUCUUUUUCCAAAGAAUAUGAAAAAUCCAUGUUUGUACUGAAAUUGCAUGCUAGCACAUAGCUUUCACAUGGUAGGCUGCUACCGGCUGAUUUUAGGUUUUUAAAAUGCAUAACUUGUUUAUAAUUCAAUUUAUAUUAGGAUUCAAAUUCAAUGGAUGAAAAUAAAUUUUGUGUUGUUCUCUGAAAAUAUAUGCUUAGAGUUUCUCACUCUUGCUUGACUUAGGCAACAUCCUGUUCGGCAUUGAUACCUUGAGCAACAUCAGAAUCUAGAACAUUGAGGGUGCCCUUCAACUUUAAUUAUUUUUGUUCCUCGACUCUAAUUUAGGUAUAUAUUUGUUGGUUUGAAUAGCCUUAGAAUUAGGUUUGACUUGUGUCAGACGUUGCAUCCCACCAAGUUUGUGGAACAAAUAGUGUAAUGUUCUCAUAUGUUUGGUUUUUCUUUGAUUGAAUUUUUUUCCAUCAUAAAUUUUGUAUGUUUUGUACAUUGUAGCCACUUGAGGGAAAAAGAUAAAAACCUCUCUAUUUAUUGGCAGGUUGGAAGUUAAAGGUAAUAAAUAUGUUCUAGGGGAAUUUCUCAAAUUUAAAGGGAAGCAAGGCUUUGAGAUCUAUCAAAAGAUCUAAAGUGAGUUGUCUAGUCAUCCAAAAGAUAAGUAUAUUUGGAUUAGCUCCUUCGCGUCUCCAAGUUUUGUACUGUCCUCGUGAUUAUUGAAGUGAAGGCAUGUCAAUUUCCGAGUGGAAGGAAGUAACUGUGAGCUCGAGUGCUGAAGUUUUAUUUCAACCACAAGAUUCUACCGAAGUCCAGAAAUUCAAGCUAUAUUGUUUUUUUCUUCAAUUCUGUCGAUGCAACUGAGUGCCUAAAGAUGUUAUUAUUAUACAAUCUAUGAUAUCUAGUAAAUAUAUAUCUUGGCGGUAGAAGGAAAAUUUAUAUAAUAUCAAUUGAAGAAAAGUGAACAUAGACCUGAUCCUUUGAUUUCUUUUAAGGAUGCAUGGCUUGUCAUUUUGAAUAUCAUAAAAUAGAAAACUUUAAGAA